GACAGAGGGUGCGAACGUUGUUCGGAAUUACUGGGCGUAAAGCGCAUGUAGGCGGCAGCGCAAGUCGGGCGUGAAAUCCCACGGCUCAACCCGUGGAAGUGCACUCGAAACUGCGCAGCUAGAGUCCUGGAGAGGAAGGUGGAAUGCUUGGUGUAGAGGUGAAAUUCGUAGAUAUCAAGCGGAACACCGGUGGCGAAGGCGGCCUUCUGGACAGUGACUGACGCUGAGAUGCGAAAGCGUGGGGAGCAAACAGG
rnacentral:rRNA from 1 species